GGGAAACAGGCUACAAAGUAACGUGUUCAGAAUGCUCAAAUAACGUGUGGUGUAAAGUGCAACAUAGAACGUGAGUAUUGCAAUUCAAGUCAGUUAGUUAGUUUGGUCCGCAUGUACGAGUGACCAUUAAAGUCGCACCCUUUUUUUCUCCCCACCUCCGCUGUGGACAACCCCAAAAACUUGCGGAAAAUUGAAUUGUAUCGUCAUAUCCGAAAUCGUACGCAAGGAACAUUUUCAGCUGACGAUUCACGGACAGUACUUGAGCCGCCGAUUCGACUCUCCGUCCAGACAGCAAGGGCGUGCAACAUUCACCACAGUACUUCGUCGGGGUCCAGCGGUAUGUCAGUGGGGUUUUUCUCCAUCCAAAUUCUGUGCGUCAAAUCGGCGAAAGGAGGGAGGCCCUCCCGGACCGCCGGGUGACGUGGUCGGGGGCACCCGAGGGAGCCUUCGGUGACCUCAGACGAGCCCUCUGCUCGGAGCCCCGUCCUGAUAACCCCCUGACCUCACUCUACCCCUGAUAGUCCACACCGACGCGUCUGAAGUGGGGCAGGGAGCGGUACUCUCCCAGGUCCGGGUGGGAGAGGAACACCCGUGCGACCUACAUCAGCAGAAAGCUCCUCCCCAACGAGAAGAGCUAUUCCACUGUGGAGAAGGAGGCCCCUGGCCAU